AUCGACAGCACCUUGGCGAUAUAGGGGAUCAAAGGCAGAUUCAGGAUCAGCAGGACCAAAUUGCCGAUAAACAUCGACAUGAUCACCGCCCAAAAGAUCUGUGGCUCAUCAAUCAUCAGGCGUGGCCC
rnacentral:ncRNA from 1 species